CAACAUUCAGGAAUCAUUCGCUCUUCUCAAAUUCUCUACUAAUCUGAAGUUUCUGUAAUGAAUUAUAGAUAUGAACUGAACUUUCAGUAUCCAAUACUCAGAUAGUAGUAUCAUAGAUAGAGAAAUUAUAAGAUGUUAUCAUAUAGGAUCUUGUCCAGCAACCCUUUACUGAUUUCUUUUUCUAGGCCUGUCUAUUUCUACCUGACUCUGAUCUGUCUUAGACUGCUUAGGAU
rnacentral:lncRNA from 1 species